GGCUAACGCUGGCGGCGUGUCUUAGCCAUGCAAGUCGAGCGGACUUAUGGGGUAACUUAUAAGUCAGCGGCGGACGGCGGAGUAACACGUAGCUAACCUACCCUCUGGACGGGGAUAACCUACCGAAAGGUGGGCUAAUACCCGAUGUAGUCAUCCUGUAUAGGGGUGAUGAAAGGUGGGCUUCUGUUUACAAGCUCAUGCUGGAGGAGGGGGCUGCGGCCUAUCAGGUAGUUGGUAGGGUAAUAGCCUACCAAGCCGACGACGGGUAGCCGGUCUGAGAGGAUGGCCGGCCACAAGGGCACUGAGAGACGGGCCCUACUCCUACGGGAGGCAGCAGUGGGGGAUUUUGGACAAUGGGCGAAAGCCUGAUCCAGCGACGCCGCGUGGAGGACGAAGCCCUUCGGGGUGUAAACUCCUUUUCUCAGGGAAAAAGGAUGAUGGUACCUGAGGAAUAAGCCCCGGCUAACUACGUG
rnacentral:rRNA from 1 species